GAAGAAGAAAACUCUGAGAUACACCGCUGAACCAAAUGAACUCAUAGAGACUAUAGAGUUGGACUCUGGUCCUGAUUGUAGGACUGAGUGAACUCCUCAGCCUUGAACCAGAACUGUAUGUGACUUUCUCUGAUACAGUCAAACCAGAGGGGAGUCACCUGGAUGGAAACAGAGAGAAGUACAACAUUGUAGCAGUCCAGUGGAGGACGUGGGGGAAGUGGAUACAUUAAACUUCAACUCCAUCAACAUUUUCAGUUGUAGACGUCAGCCGCAGCAUGUAGCAAAUUAUUUAAAUAGAAUGUAGCUUUAGUUUUACCUGUGCAGGUACAUUACAUUAAGCACAGGAUUUAACUCAGGAUGAAAAAUGUUUUUUUCUGAAAUACUGCCCUUUUAUGUCACACCUGUCCUAGCAUUGAAUACCAAUAAAGUCUGUUCAAAACAGACACAUCAAACUCAAAGCUAAGUAAAUCACAGCAUGUACAGUCUAUAUUUAAACAGUGAAAUCAAACAGAAGCCCAGCUCUAUCACAGUUUGCUAGUGUUGCAGUGGCUGAAUAAACAACUCUGCAGUUUGA